AGGACGAACGCUGGCGGCGUGCCUAACACAUGCAAGUCGAACGCGCUCCAUUCGGUAGCAAUACUGAUGAAGAGCGAGUGGCGAACGGGUGAGUAGCACGUGAGCAACCUGCCCCGAAGACUGGGACAACACCGGGAAACCGGUGCUAAUACCGGAUAUCCCUAUCGGACCGCAUGAUCUGAUAAGGAAAUGGAUUCCGCUUCGGGAGGGGCUCGCGGCCUAUCAGCUAGUUGGUGGGGUAACGGCCCACCAAGGCAUCGACGGGUAGCUGGUCUGAGAGGACGAUCAGCCACACUGGGACUGAGACACGGCCCAGACUCCUACGGGAGGCAGCAGUGGGGAAUCUUGCGCAAUGGGCGAAAGCCUGACGCAGCAACGCCGCGUGGAGGACGAAGGCUUUCUGAGUUGUAAACUCCUUUCAGCAGGGACGAGUAGUGACGGUACCUGCAGAAGAGCACCGGCCAACUACGCGCCAGCAGCCGCGGUAAC
rnacentral:rRNA from 1 species